rnacentral:rRNA from 1 species
UACGUAGGGUGCGAGCGUUGUCCGGAAUUAUUGGGCGUAAAGAGCUCGUAGGCGGUCUGUCGCGUCUGCUGUGAAAACCCGAGGCUCAACCUCGGGCCUGCAGUGGGUACGGGCAGACUAGAGUGCGGUAGGGGAGAAUGGAAUUCCUGGUGUAGCGGUGGAAUGCGCAGAUAUCAGGAGGAACACCGAUGGCGAAGGCGGUUCUCUGGGCAUGUCCUGACGCUGAGGAGCGAAAGUGUGGGGAGCGAACAGG